rnacentral:rRNA from 1 species
AUGAAGAACUUGAGAGAUCCAAAAACCAAGAUCUAUCCCUCAACUACGAGGGGAGGUAAGGAACUGCCAUCUAGCUCUGCACUUGAUUCACCUUCUGUUAUGAGUAAGCUUGCGACACCUACACCUGCUUCUUCUAUUCGUUCUGAUAUGUCGCAUGUUAUUGAUGAUGCUACUUCUGCUAUGCAUGAUACUUAUGAUGAAACUACCUCUAUGCCUGAUACUACUAUGCCACUUAGUGAUUUUCUAGAGGAACGACUUGCUAGGGCUAGAGAGAUUGAAAAUAAUGUAUCUGAUUAUGAAGAUGAAAGUGAUGAUGAAGAAUCACUUGUUAUUCCUGAGGGUUAUUUAUUUGAUCAAGAUGCUUCUUUAGCCAUUUUAGCUUGCAAAGAUAGAUAUGAACUCAAAAGGUUAUUAGCUAAAUGGAAUAAGCAAUCUCCAAGUGCUAGGAUGAGACCUGGCCCUGCUUUUGCUACUUCACCUAUAUGUGUUGUUGAUAAGGAUUAUGAAUUCUCUAUUGAUCCUGAUAUAAUUACUUUGGUUGAAUCUGAUCCUUUUCAUGGCUAUGAAUCUGAAACUGUUGUACCACAUCUUACUAAAUUAAAUGAUACUAGUCAUCAACCCGUGCACCUGCACGGGCUAGCAGUUUAA